AGAGUUUGAUUAUGGCUCAGGAUGAACGCUGGCGGCGUGCUUAACACAUGCAAGUCGAGCGAAGCGAUUCAAAUGAAGUUUUCGGAUGGAUUUGAAUUGACUUAGCGGCGGACGGGUGAGUAACGCGUGGGUAACCUGCCUCAUACAGGGGGAUAACAGUUGGAAACGGCUGCUAAUACCGCAUAAGCACACAGUGCCGCAUGGUACGGUGUGAAAAACUCCGGUGGUAUGAGAUGGACCCGCGUCUGAUUAGGUAGUUGGUGAGGUAACGGCCCACCAAGCCGACGAUCAGUAGCCGACCUGAGAGGGUGACCGGCCACAUUGGGACUGAGACACGGCCCAAACUCCUACGGGAGGCAGCAGUGGGGAAUAUUGGACAAUGGGGGAAACCCUGAUCCAAGCGACGCCGCGUGAGUGAAGAAGUAUUUCGGUAUGUAAAGCUCUAUCAGCAGGGAAGAAAGUGACGGUACCUGACUAAGAAGCCCCGGCUAACUACGUGCCAGCAGCCGC
rnacentral:rRNA from 1 species